rnacentral:rRNA from 1 species
UUGGAGGGCAAUGUCGUGGUGCCGACGCAGCCGCGGUAAUUCCAGCUCCAAUAGCGUAUAUUAAAGUUGUUGCAGUUAAAAAGCUCGUAGUUGAAUUUCGGGAUACAGUAUGUUGGUCGUGCUUCGGUACGUACUGUCAUUACUGGUUUCUCCCUUCUGAAGAACCUUGAUGUCAUUAAUUUGGUGUCUUGGGGAAUCAGGACUGUUACUUUGAAAAAAUUAAAGUGUUUAA